UAUUAGAUACCCGGGUAGUCCUAGCCGUAAACGAUACUCGCUAGGUGUCGGCCACGGUGCGACCGUUGUCGGUGCCGUAGGGAAGCCGUGAAGCGAGCCACCUGGGAAGUACGGCCGCAAGGCUGAAACUUAAAGGAAUUGGCGGGGGAGCACCACAACGGGUGGAGCUCGCGGUUUAAUUGGAUUCAACGCCGGAAAUCUUACCGGGACCGACAGCAAUAUGAAGGCCAGGCUGAAGACUUUGCCGGAUUAGCUGAGAGGUGGUGCAUGGCA
rnacentral:rRNA from 1 species